rnacentral:rRNA from 1 species
UACGUAGGGGGCAAGCGUUAAUCGGAAUUACUGGGCGUAAAGCGUGCGCAGGCGGCUUUGCAAGACAGAUGUGAAAUCCCCGGGCUUAACCUGGGAACUGCAUUUGUGACUGCAUGGCUGGAGUGCGGCAGAGGGGGAUGGAAUUCCGCGUGUAGCAGUGAAAUGCGUAGAUAUGCGGAGGAACACCGAUGGCGAAGGCAGUCCCCUGGGCCUGUACUGACGCUCAUGCACGAAAGCGUGGGGAGCAAACAGG